UUUCCUACAACUGUCGGAUAACGUGUUAGUGGCGGUGGCGCACGCGUCAUUGGAGCUAUAGCUGGAGUCUGUAUCCCAGCUGCGUGUUCAGCCGACAAACCUUCCUCGGUGGAAUUUCUCACGGUUGGCCGUGCUUGCUGUAGAUCACGCUGAACCUGCCGAAUCACUUCAAUACUGCGCAUCAGUUGAGCUUGUGCUAACCCAAUGGAUGCCAUCAUUUCCUGCAGAUUAUUAGCCUGGUUGAAUUCCGAUCUAUCGUCUCCAUUCCCCUGUCGAAAUUCUCGUCUUACGUUCUGAGCGGUCAAACUUGAAAAUGCUGGAGAAAGUAUAGUAUUAUUCAGUUCAUCCGGACUGAUCGAUGCAUCGCUGCCAAUCGAUGGAGCGCUUGACGAUCUGACAAUGCCUCCCGUUCCAGUGUUGGUUUGCAAAGUUGGUGGGUUGUUCGUAGGAACUUGAGUUUGCGUGUUCUGUGCCCCUACCCUUGGCUCGGAAUUAACUGCUUCUUCGUUGUUUUCCAUAUUAUUUGGCUGUAGCUUACUACCACUUCUAGUCAAAACCAUUCCAAAAUUAAUAGUAAACUAAUAACUGUGUUCCUAAGAAAUAUUAAAAAUAAAAACUAAAAAUCAAGAAAACAUAUAUACUAGUAGUAAUGCUUCUACUUCUGUCGAGGUAGGAAAAUAAUGAUGUAUUAAAUAAUAUCAAAAAGUCUUUCAAUAUAUCAUAAGGUAGGAUUCUAGGUGACGGCCAUUAGAAGAGUAGAUGUUACUUUCAGAUUUAAAAGAAAUAAGGUAAACAAAAUAAUUACCUCCUGCAAUCCUGUGCUUUAACUUUUUAUACUGUGGAUAUGGAAAAUCUGGUUUAACAACCUAGUGACAUCGAAAGAAAUCUCGUUGACUAUACUAUGAGUGUUUCUGUCUAAGAAUUGACUCCGGACAACAAAAUUCCUUUCGAAUACAAAAUGAUUGUUAAAAAUGGCUAUUGCAAUGAAAAACUAAUUGGAUGUGACCCAAAAACUCCACACAAUCGUGGCAAUUAAAUGCGUUGUGUUACUAACACUGGCGAUAAGACCUACGAUUAUAUGUAGCCUAAAGGUUUGGUGAUUCAAAAUUAAAUCUCCACCUCACGACCCCGAUUUAGAAAACUUUAGGUCGGGACUGAGAUUUUAACAUUGGACCGUGAUAUUGAAAAUGAAGAAAUAUCGUUCAAAAUGUAUACUAUUUAAACCAAGUGGCAGCCGGGAGGACUCUUUGAGUUACUCAAACGGGACCUACUUGCUUUAAAUAAUAUAUGGCUACAAUUAUUUUUUUGCUUUCAUCUCGGGCCCCACGUUAUGGGCGCCAUUUUGUCACGUACUACCGUCAGUUGAUUUCACAUAAUUCCUGUUUUCUAUCAAACAUCGUCAUUGCUGGCAUGUUGGCUUUUUGCACGGCUAGUGCUCGCCGGAUGGGGGUGGUUCUUGACGACAUUGACUAGGUUGGCAAUACGUUAAACAAAAAAAAAUAUCAUGCCAGACUGAUCAAAAUUAAAAAAAAAAGGGUAUUCCGAGCCCGAGAGAAAUAGUAAACUAUUAAUGACUUUUACCACAGCAUAAAUAAGAAAAAGCAACCAGUUAUAUGGGAAAAAAAUCAUGAAAGUACUCGGCAGGUGUUAAACCGAGCUCUUCCCUCCCACUGGAACACUUGUUCCACCUUGGCAAUCAAAACAUGUUCAUAUUGCCCCCAUACCUACCUCUUCUUUAGCACGUCACCCUCCUAACCUUCAAUUAAAUUUCCUUAUGGAGAAGACAUUUUAAUUCAUAUCCAUCGUUAUAAUUUUAUUUUUAAUUCAAGGUUCUUAAUUUUUAAUACAAAAAAUUGUGGAUAAUUUUAACUUUGAAAUUCACAUUGUUAAAAAGGUUAUUACUAGUGCAAAGAGUUUUUACUAGUGUAAAAUAUUCGAAAAUCGUAAGUAUUAUAAUUUUGAACGUUGUACAUAAUAACGAAACUUAGGUAAGUACCACUUUUGGGUAUUUAUUUAAUAAAUUUAAUAUAAGAUGGCUGCUCUUCUUUCUUUUCCAGGGAUGCUGAACAGAGGUCCUAUUAUGGCGGUGAUUGCUGGCAAUGGAGCUUAUUAUCCGUCAGUUAAUCUCUGGAGUAAAAGCAAAGGGACAACAUUAAGCUUUUGUGUAUGGGAGCAACUAACUCCUGGUGGUUAAUAACCUGUCCUACCUGCCUAGAGAGAGCUCUAUCUAUUCGGAGAGGAUAUGAGAGUAAAAAUUCGAAUAAUAAAGAAAACAAAAGGAAAUGUCUACCCUUAAGGCCACGUAUUUUCUAUACCCUUUUAUUCUAGGUUUAUGGGCAGUCCGUCCGUCGCAAGUAAUUAUCAAUAAGUUUGGAGGUACCUCAGCACCGCGGAAUGCCUGGUGCUCAACAGCGUAUCCAACGAUGGGCAGAGGAGUCGGGAUCGGUGGUCCAAAUAUCGUUAUCGAUGCUGGCAAAGGUGUUUGGUGCUGGAUUACUUCCUUUUGUUCAAAAGUUAUUGAGGUUUUUUUUCUCUUUUCGUGCAAUAAAGGCAAUAAAUAUUUUUAAAAUUUUGUUUUGUGA